UCUUUCUGAAAGGAGAGAGUGCCUCGCAAGAGGAGCCUGGUGACAGGUGCUGCAUGGCUGUCGUCAGCUCGUGUCGUGAGAUGUUGGUUAAGUCCCGCAACGAGCGCAACCCCUAUCUUUAGUUGCCAUCAUUGAGUUGGGCACUCUAAAGAGACUGCCGGUGGUCAAACCGGGAGGAAGGUGGGGAUGACGUCAAGUCCUCAUGGCCUUUAUGACCAGGGCUACACACGUACUACAAUGGCCGGUACAAAGGGCAGCGACACAGCGAUGUGAAAGCCAAUCCCGAAAAGCCGGUCUCAGUCCGGAUUGGAGUCUGCAACUCGACUCCAUGAAGUUGGAAUCGCUAGUAAUCGCGGAUCAGCACGCCCGCGGUCCGAAUACGUUCCGGGCCUU
rnacentral:rRNA from 1 species